AUACGGAGGAUGCGAGCGUUAUCCGGAUUUAUUGGGUUUAAAGGGAGCGUAGGUGGGAUAUUAAGUCAGCUGUGCAAGUUUGGGGCUCAACCUUAAAAUUGCAGUUGAUACUGGUUUCCUUGAGUACGGUAUAGGUGGGCGGAAUUCGUGGUGUAGCGGUGAAAUGCUUAGAUAUCACGAAGAACUCCGCUCGCGAAGGCAGCUCACCGGGUCGGAACUGACACUGAUGCUCGAAAGUGCGGGGAUCGAACAGGAUUAGAUACCCUGGUAGUCCGCACAGUAAACGAUGAAUACUCGCUGUUUGCGAUACACUGUAAGCGGCCAAGCGAAAGCGUUAAGUAUUCCACCUGGGGAGUACGCCGGCAACGGUGAAACUCAAAGGAAUUGGCGGGG
rnacentral:rRNA from 1 species